AGUGAACGCUGGCGGUAGGCCUAACACAUGCAAGUCGAACGGCAGCACAGUAAGAGCUUGCUCUUACGGGUGGCGAGUGGCGGACGGGUGAGGAAUACAUCGGAAUCUACUUUUUCGUGGGGGAUAACGUAGGGAAACUUACGCUAAUACCGCAUACGACCUACGGGUGAAAGCAGGGGAUCUUCGGACCUUGCGCGAUUGAAUGAGCCGAUGUCGGAUUAGCUAGUUGGCGGGGUAAAGGCCCACCAAGGCGACGAUCCGUAGCUGGUCUGAGAGGAUGUUCAGCCACACUGAAACUGAGACACGGUCCAGACUCCUACGGGAGGCAGCGGUGGGGAAUAUGGGACAAUGGGCGAAAGCCUGAUCCAGCCAUACCGCGUGGGUGAGAAGGCCUUCGGGUUGUAAAGCCCUUUUGUUGGGAAAGAAAAGCAGCAGGUUAAUACCCCGCUGUUCUGACGGUACCCAAAGAAUAAGCACCGGCUAACUUCGUG
rnacentral:rRNA from 1 species